UGGAAAUUCUCUGUAUAACUCCAGGCCAAGU
rnacentral:piRNA from 1 species